rnacentral:rRNA from 1 species
GGGGAACCCGCACAAGCGGUGGAUGAUGUGGAUUAAUUCGAUGCAACGCGAAGAACCUUACUACCCUUGACAUGUCCGGAACUUGCCAGAGAUGGCUUGGUGCCGAAAGGGAAUCGGAACACAGGUGCUGCAUGGCUGUCGUCAGCUCGUGUCGUGAGAUGUUGGGUUAAGUCCCGCAACGAGCGCAACCCUUAUCAUUAGUUGCUACGCAAGGGCACUCUAAUGAGACUGCCGGUGACAAACCGGAGGAAGGUGGGGAUGACGUCAAGUCCUCAUGGCCCUUAUGGGUAGGGCUUCACACGUCAUACAAUGGUCGGUACAGAGGGUUGCCAAGCCGCGAGGCGGAGCCAAUCCCACAAAGCCGAUCGUAGUCCGGAUUGUUCUCUGCAACUCGAGAGCAUGAAGUCGGAAUCGCUAGUAAUCGCAGGUCAGCAUACUGCGGUGAAUACGUUCCCGGGUCUU